UGAGAUUCUCUCUGGUUCUUCAAGGUACGCAUAUGUUUCCUUCUAUCAAUUUCUUUUUUUGGAAAUUAGGGUUUUUUUUUUAUGUUCUUUCUGCCAUUUCAUUGUAAUUAUGUUCUCUUAAUUGAUGAAUUUGGGUAUUAAUGUAUUUAUUUGAAAGUUUCAAGUUGGAAAUUUUUUUGGUCAAAUUCUGCAAAACGAACCCUAACCACGGUGAGAGGUUAUUCCUGGUAGAUUGCCAUUUAGACUUCUUCCUUGGACUUUUUUUUCCACUAAAGCAUUAUCUAGUUUCAAACCUGUUCUUGAAUGUACUGUUUCUCCACACUUGAGGUGGUUUGAGUUUUUGCUUGUGAUGGAGAUUCUAUAGUCGUAGAAAGAUUGGUGCGUUGUCCGAUGGGCCUCAGAUCUGGCCUGGUUUCUUAAAGGGCUUAUGGUGGCCUUAUGAUUGGUUCUCGGACAUUAUUACUCGUCGAUUUUCUAGUUUUGAGUUUCAUCUGGUUAAGAGUUUUGAGUUUUCGGUUGGUGUUGCAUUCUUUGGAGGUUGUCUUGUUUCUUGCAGGUGGAGCGUGCUUUUUGUGCACGCAUUUUUCCCUCUUCACUUAGAGUUUGAUCUAGUAUCUCAUGUGCCUUAGGGAUUUAAUGGUCAACUUUGGCAAUUGGGAUUUAAUGCAUAGCUCCGUGUGUAGAAAUUGUUUGGGCAGAUUAUUUGCAUUCUACUUUUUCUGUAAAUAAAAUCCAAUUUACAUUGUGAUGUGUUGACAACAUUCAUGCAAUUAUAGAUGGCACGUACCAAGCAAACUG
rnacentral:misc_RNA from 1 species